rnacentral:misc_RNA from 1 species
UACGGAGGGUGCAAGCGUUGUUCGGAAUUACUGGGCGUAAAGCGCGCGUAGGCGGGCCAGCAAGUCGAUUGUGAAAACCCAGGGCUUAACCUUGGAAUUGCAGUCGAUACUGUUGGUCUUGAAUGCCUGAGAGGAUGGCGGAAUUCCCGGUGUAGAAGUGAAAUUCGUAGAUAUCGGGAGGAACACCUGAGGCGAAGGCGGCUGUCUGGCAGUGCAUUGACGCUGAGGCGCGAAAGCGUGGGUAGCAAACAGG